AUGAUGUGGAUGAAAGGAUCAAGUUAUAAGGAAAAAAGGGGAAAGGUGGAUGUCAUGCCUGGUGUCCAAUCCCCAUGCAGAAGAUUCAGCACGUCUUCACCAAGGGGAGGUUCAAGCUCAUGCCCAUGUCCAGCAGCUUCGUCCAUAGGAUUUGUGGAUGUGAGGCCACCCUCAAGCCUGCCCAGUACCCUCCAAGUCUCCCCAAAUCAAAGAGAGUCUUUGUCAAACACCCAGACUUCCAAGAGUCUCCCUAGGCUCCUCUCCUCCCUCAGCAUCCUGAACAUUUCCCACCCUGGCCAACUUCUCCCCUCCCCCCUCAAGCAGGCUGUCUCUCCCACAGAAGCUACUCCAGCUCAUCUUUGGUCUGGGGAUGGUCAGGGACCAGGAGGUGGUCCGCGGACCACAGUUGCUGUCUAAUCAAUGCUGAACAGAGCUGUAGUUACACUCUAUGCCUCCUGCCACCACCCAGUCCCUUCUCCCUACAGCAGCCACAGGGAGCUUUUGAGAACUUGAAAAAUACACCAAGUUUCUCCCUCACACAAAAGCUGCCUGUGGCUCCCAUCAUCCUAGAAUGGAGCCCCCUUACUCCCUGCAGCCCUGGCAGGAGACCCAGCCCCUGCCCAUCUCCCUGGCUUUCCCUCCUCCCUCUCCCCCUUGCUCACCCUGCUCCAGCCUCCACACCCUCCUUGGUGCUCCUCAAACAUACCCAGCUCCUCUCCUCAAACAUGCCCAACUCCUUUCCACCUCAGGACCUUUGCAUAUGCUGUGCCCUCCACCCGGGAUGCCCUUCCCCGUGAUCUCAGUGUGCUUGACUGGUUUCCGCUCUUUCAGAUCUCAGUUUAAAUGUCACUUCCUCAGAACAGCCCCCCACCCCAUGAUCUCCAGGCCACCUCCCAUUUCCUGUUUGAGUCCCUUCUCAGUACACACUGCCACGUGAUCUCUCCUUGUUUAUAUAUUUGUCUUUUAUGUUUAUUAUAUCCCCCACCCCCAGCCCAGAACCUGCGAUGUAAUUACACCUCGAUAUGUAUUUGUAGAAUGGAUGAAUGAAUGCAGGGACGGGUAUGACUAGAACCUCCUUCUGCGACUCAGCUAGUAGGGUGGACUGUUUAUGCGUUCUCUGAUUUGGAAGUGGGUACCUCUUGAAGCAGCCAGUAGGGAUGGAGGGUGAGGACACAGCCCAGGCCCCCCACCGCUGGAUUCAGCCCUGUGCUCACCUGGCAUGGUGCCCCAGGUCAAUGCCAGCCCCUGGAACCUCAGUCUCCUUCUUGAGAUAGCAGGUAUAAUAGUCACUGUGACUUCUCCCGCCCUCCUCCUCCACCUGGUUCAGGCCAGGGCAGGGUCCAGGCACAGCAACCACUGUCAUCACUGGGACAGUGGGGAGCCAGGAGGACUGGGAGCCGCGGUUGUUGCCUAAUCAAUGCUGAAGGGAGUCAUAGUUACACUCCAGACCUCCUUUUGGGUCUUAGUUUAUGGAACUCCUACUGCUUCUCCACCUAGGCAGCGAGGGUGGGGGGCGGUUCUUCAUCUUUCUGGUCUUCCCGGAACCCCUAGAUUUGGGAGAAGAUAGGGAGUUGGGGCCUUGGGGAUCCCUUGGGGAUCCCCACCCCCAUCUCACCCCAGUGAGGGAACAUCCACAGUACACUGAGCUUCAUGGCAGCCCAGAUGGGGAAACUGAGACUCAGACAUGCUUCCUUACCUCCAGCCCUGAGGAGGGAGAUGCUGAAAAGGUCUUUCUGCAAUGUCUCUCUGGGCCUCUGCAGUAGAGGCUGAGGAUGGGCCCCAGAGGGGCUGAAGCUCAGGGAAGUGGCUUUGUCCACCAAGAGACACAGAGUGGGGAAGGACAAAGCCAGUGUCCUCCUGAGACAAGGAGGUCCAGACAGCUGACUAUAUGCAAUGCAGGAUGACAGCAAAAGCCACUAAACAGUCCUGCUCCCGAAUGCUGAUGAGUGCCAGGCACACAUGGGCCCAGACUGUAGAAAAGUGAGAUGAUUCUGAGCACCUUGUAUCAGACAGCCAGGAAAUCCCUCCCUCCCUCCCUUCCUCCUUCCUUUGAACAUCAACACAAACUCAUAGAUUGUUAACACGUCUGAUGUGCUUCAACCCCAUGGGUCCUUGUUCUCAUUCUUACUUACUUAUCCCAUAUUUAGCUUGUAGGCAACCCUCCGUGUUUGCUCCUUUGACAGGACCUCGAUGAUGUUUAGAAGCUUCCUUGCUUCCCAGUCUCAUAAUAUACAUCUGGCUCUUCUGGCCCAUCUCCUGCCCAGAUACGAAGCCGGAGCUGUACUUUCCCCAGGAGCCCUGGCUCUUUUGUGGGAAGUGAGACCAGAGUUGGCAGGAAGGGGCUCAUUGCUGCAGGUCUGGUCACCGUUUCUAGGCCUUUUCAGUGGACUGAGCCAAAGCAUGCCUUUUCUUUUUAGAAGAUAAUGCAUUCUGUGUUCCUACUGAUUUUCCCAUUCAAUUAUUUAGGAUUGGGAUGCCUGGAUGGCUCAGGGGUUGAGUGUCUGCCUUCGGCUCAGGGCAUGAGCCUGGGGUCCAUUCAGCUCUCUGAGAGGAGCCUGCUUCUCCCUUCGUCUAUGACUCUGUCUCUCUCUGUGUGUCUCUCAUGAAUAAAUAAAUAAAAUCUUAAAAAAAAUGAUUUAGGGUUGCAGAAUUUUAUUUAACUUCCUUGCUUUUAUAUGUGUACAUCUUUCCUCUAACAUUGAAAAUCUUAAAAAAAAAAAAAAGAAAAAAAGAAAAAAAAAGAAAAUCUUGGUUGCUAACAUUAACAAAAUUACUUAUUUGCUUUAUCAAAAAAUGUAACAAAUAGUUUCAGGAUAGCAACACCAAUAUUAUUACUAACACUACGAAUAUCAAAAGCAAUUUAAGAUUUCUUUGUGAUUCUGUUUGUCCUUGGAAUGUACUGUGUACCACGUGCUGUGUUCAGAUGACUGAAGUGAUCUGAAGUAAUUCCUGUUUGUGGCAUUAAACCACCAACUCAAAACCAGAGUUAGUUUCAUUUGUCUCAUUGUGAUUUCAAGAUUUUGUUUUGUUGUUGUUGUUUUUGUGUGUGUCUCUCUUUCAUUUAAUUUUGUUUUAUAACCAUACAAAACAUUGACAUGAUCCCAAAGUUGCAUUUACAAAACAAAGUAAACUCAGAGAAACCAGCUUUUAGACUGUCACUUUCAUCCUGUUUCUUACUUUUAAUUUUUGAGAAUUCUCUUCCU
rnacentral:lncRNA from 1 species